GGAGAGAUGCUCGAGUGGCUUAAGAGGUGCGCCUGGAAAGCGCAUAUACGCCAAAAGCGUAUCGGGGGUUCGAAUCCCCCUCUCUCCG
rnacentral:tRNA from 1 species